GCAGAAGCUGUUUGUAAGUUGCUGGGCUGUGGCGCUGGAGCAGCAGCGCCACUUAACGCUCACUUUGGAGAAGGUUCCGGUCGUGUUAUCGGUCCGGUUGGCUGCCGACACCAGCGGGAUGUUGGAGUAAUCUGUUCAGAUCAUACAGAUCUCAGGCUGACAUCGGGGACCACCCGAUGUUCCGGCCGGCUGGAAACACGACACGGAUCUCAGUGGGGUACGCUUUGUGAUGUUUACUUUGGCUUGGAAGACGCCAGUGUGGUCUGUGAGCACCUUCGAUGUGGGGCAGUGUCUGAAAUAUUGGCAGGAGCUCACUUUGGGAAGGGAACCGGCCCAGUGUGGAAAGAGAACUACAGAUGCCGGGGCAACGAAUCCAGCUUUUGGGAUUGUCCAGUUUCAUCCUGGGAUGAAAUUAAAUGUUCGCAUGAAAAUGACGUCAGUGUUAUCUGCUCGGGCAAUAAUUGGUCGCUUCGACUGACUAACGGGGGAAGCCGAUGUGAUGGGCGAGUGGAAACAUACAGCAGCGGAAUCUGGGGGCGAGUGCAGGACUCCCUGUGGGACCUGAAUGAUUCCAAAGUGGUCUGCAGAGAGUUAGG